CCCUUAGAUGUUCUGGGCCGCACGCGCGCUACACUGAUGCAUUCAACGAGUUUCUUCCUGGUCCGAGAGGAAUGGGUAACCUUUUGAAAGUGCAUCGUGAUAGGGAUAGACUAUUGCAAUUAUUGGUCUUCAACGAGGAAUUCCUAGUAGACGUAGUUCAUCAGACUGCAUCGAUUACGUCCCUGCCCUUUGUACACACCGCCCGUCGCUCCUACUGAUUGAGUGUCUCGGUGAAUUCUUUGAUUCUCUGUCGAUUCAGUUCACUGGUCCGACGGUGGAAAGUUGAAUGAACUUCGUCACUUAGAGGAAGGAGAAGUCGUAACA
rnacentral:rRNA from 1 species